GCCAACGUGGGACAAUCUGGUACUCCGCAAGCCUGGAAAGCUUGUUGGCUUCGGCCUUUCCCGGUUCAAAUCCGGGCGUUGGCG
rnacentral:tRNA from 1 species